AUUUUAUUUUUUACUUGUUUUUUAGUUUACUUUGUUUAAAAUAAAUAUUAUUUGUUUUAUUAUUAUGUUUUGAAAAAAUUUGUUUUGUUAUAGUUUAUUAGUAUUGAAAAAGAAAGCUUAGAAAUUUUAAUAAGAAAAAUUUAUUUUUUGUACCUUGUGUAUCAGGGUUUAUCUAUAAAUAAUUAUUUAUUAAUUUUCUCGAAUUCAAAAGAUCUAUAGGUCUAUAUUUUUUAUUGUUGAAUAAUUAUUAUUAAUAGAUUUAUAGAAGUGAAAUUCUUUACGAUUUUGAAUAUAUCUAGUUUCUAAAGAAAAAAAUUUAAUUUUAUUUCUAUUUAAAAAGUUGGCUUAAUAUUUAGUAGCUUUUUAUUGGGAUUUUAUAACCAUAGGGAUGAGCUUGUGGUUAUAUUUGCAUGUUUUGAGUUUAUUUAUUUAUAGUAGGAUUAGAAGUUUCUUUCUUUAAGAGUUUUAUAACUUUGUAAUUUUCGUGAAAAGAUUUGGUUUUUAUUGCUUUAUUUAUUUAGAAUAACAAAUUAAUUUUGUAUUUGUUGUUAUAAUGAUAAAAUUAGUAUAUUUUUAUAAAUUUUAUUUUUAGGUUAAAGGUUAAGUAAAGUAACUCGGCAAAUAUAUUUUUCACCUGUUUAUUAAAAACAUGGCCUUUUGAGUAUAAUUUAAGGUCAGGCCUGCCCAAUGAUUAAUUAAAUGGCCGCGGUAUUUUGACCGUGCAAAGGUAGCAUAAUCAUUAGUUUUUUAAUUGAAAGCUGGAAUGAAUGGUUAGAUGAGAAAAUGACUGUCUCUGCUUAAUUUACAUAGAAUUUUAUUUUUAAGUUAAAAAGCUUAAAUUUUUAUAAAAGACGAGAAGACCCUAUAGAGUUUUAUAUUUAUUUUAUAGGUAAUAUUUAGUAUUUAGUUUUACUUUAAGUUUAAGUAUUUAGUUGGGGUGAUUGAAAAAUUGAUUUAACUUUUUUGUUUAUUUACAUUGAUAAGUGAAUAUUUGAUCCUUUUUAAAGAUUAACAGAUUAAAUUACCUUAGGGAUAACAGCGUUAUUUUUCUUGAGAGUUCAUAUCGAAAGGAGAGAUUGCGACCUCGAUGUUGGAUUAAAAUAAAUUUUUGGUGUAGAAGCUUUAAAAUUAAGUCUGUUCGACUUUUGAAAUUUUACAUGAUCUGAGUUUAAACCGGUGUGAGCCAGGUUGGUUUCUAUCUUUAUAUUUUGUAAUACCUUAGUACGAAAGGACCAGGUAUU
rnacentral:rRNA from 1 species